UACAGAGACUGCAAGCGUUAUUCGGAUUCACUGGGCGUAAAGGGUGCGCAGGCGGCCAAGUGUGUGAGGCGUGAAAGCCCGGGGCUUAACCCCGGAAUUGCACCUCAAACUACAUGGCUAGAGCAUUGGAGAGGGUAGCAGAAUUCAUGGUGUAGCAGUGAAAUGCGUAGAUAUCAUGAGGAAUACCAGAGGCGAAGGCGGCUACCUGGACAAUUGCUGACGCUCAGGCACGAAAGCGUGGGGAGCGAUCCGG
rnacentral:rRNA from 1 species